rfam:Acidithrix ferrooxidans strain Py-F3 AXFE_contig000004, whole genome shotgun sequence.
CUAAAAGGUGCUCCUUGAACUGGUUGUUUUUUGACUAUUACAACCUAAAGUUUACCAGUUCAGAGCACCUUUUCUAUGCCAAAAUCAAAGUCGAUCGGCUAAAUUUUCGGUGGAUCCAG